ACUUUAUUUUGAUUUCCUUCGGGACUGAUUAUUUUGUGACUGAGUGGCGGACGGGUGAGUAACGCGUGGGUAACCUGCCUUGUACAGGGGGAUAACAGUUGGAAACGGCUGCUAAUACCGCAUAAGACCACAGCACCGCAUGGUGCAGGGGUAAAAACUCCGGUGGUACAGGAUGGACCCGCGUCUGAUUAGCUAGUUGGUGAGGUAACGGCCCACCAAGGCGACGAUCCAUAGCCGGACUGAGAGGUUGAACGGCCACAUUGGGACUGAGAUACGGCCCAGACUCC
rnacentral:rRNA from 1 species